rnacentral:rRNA from 1 species
ACUUGGGGAUAACCUUGCGAAAGUAAGACUAAUACCCGAUGAUAUCUCUAGACGACAUCUCGAAAGGGAUUUAAAGAUUUAUCGGUGAUGGAUGGGGAUGCGUCUGAUUAGCUUGUUGGCGGGUAACGGCCACCAAGGCAACGAUCAGUAGGGGUUCUGAGAGGAAGGUCCCCCACAUUGGAACUGAGACACGGUCCAAACUCCUACGGGAGGCAGCAGUGAGGAAUAUUGGUCAAUGGGCGAGAGCCUGGAACCAGCCAAGUAGCGUGCAGGACGACGGCCCUAUGGGUUGUAAACUGCUUUUAUAAGGGAAUAAAGUGAGUCUCGUGAGACUUUUUGCAUGUACCUUAUGAAUAAGGACCGGCUAAUUCCGUG